CCUACGGGAGGCAGCAGUGAGGAAUAUUGGUCAAUGGCCGUAAGGCUGAACCAGCCAAGUCGCGUGAAGGAAGAAGGAUCUAUGGUUUGUAAACUUCUUUUAUAGGGGAAUAAAGGUAUCCACGUGUGGAUAUUUGCAUGUACCCUACGAAUAAGCAUCGGCUAACUCCGUGCCAGCAGCCGCGGUAAUACGGAGGAUGCGAGCGUUAUCCGGAUUUAGUGGGUUUAAAGGGUGCGUAGGUUGUUUUUUAAGUCAGCGGUGAAAGUUUGUGGCUCAACCAUAAAAUUGCCGUUGAAACUGGAAGACUUGAGUGUGUUAGAGGUAGGCAGAAUGCGUGGUGUAGCGGUGAAAUGCAUAGAGAUCACGCAGAACUCCGAUUGCGAAGGCAGCUUACUAAGCCAUGACUGACACUGAAGCACGAAAGCGUGGGGAUCAAACAGGAUUAGAUACCCGGGUAGUC
rnacentral:rRNA from 1 species